AAAGCACUGGCUGCUAUUGUAAAUGGCUCCUAAAAGAGCUAAAGAGCAUUCACAUAUGAGCAACAAUUCUACCUCUAGGUGUUUACCCAAGAGGAUUGAAAAUAAGUGUUCAAAACAAAUGUAUUCUUGAAUGUUUAUCAUCUUACUAUUGACAAUAGCCAGAAAAUGGAAACAAGCCACACAUCCAUCAACUGAUGAAUGGGUAAACAAAAGGUCUAUCCAUGUAGUGGAAUAUUAUUCAGCCAUAAAAAGGAAUGAAGUGCUGACUGCUGUCACAGCACCAGAUGGACCUUGAAAAACAUUAGGCUAAGUAAAAGAAGGUAGACCCAACUGCUCACAGGUUAUUUGAUUCCACUUAUGUUAAAUGUCCAGAAGAAGCAAAUCUAUAAAAACAGAAAGCAGAUCAGUAGUUGCCAGUGGCUGGGCAGUGCCUGUAUAUAGCUCCUUCUGAGAGUAGAGAAAGUGUCCAGGAUCAGAUAGUGAUGACCAGUCACUAUCUAAUAGUGAAUGCAAAAUUUAAGAUGGUUAAAAUGGUGAAUUCCAUGUCCUAUGAAUGUUUCCUCCCAAAACAAAAGGCUUUAUGUAUAAAGAGUCUUUGGUCUAGCCCAAGUUUUUUAGCUGGGAAAGUAGAAGCUCACUUCUGGGGGACAUGGCUUUCUGGGGGCCAUGGCCACAGUCCCCAGGACACCAGGGCGCUCCUGGGGGAGGUGGGAAGCAAGGGCGGAUGCUCAGGUAGUGCGGGCAUGCCGGGUUCUGUGAAGAAGGGCCAGCCUGGCCUUGGCUGCAGCAGAGGUGGGGUCCCUGGGCUCCUCCUCGAGUUGCUUCCCAGCUACAGGGGGCUUGCCACAGCCAGUCCAGGCUCACACCCAGACAAGUGGGAUCCAAAAGACAAAACAGGCAUCUCUUGCAUCUCUGUUUAGGAGCAAGACAAGUUUUGCUGGAAGCCCCCUGGCAAAGCCAUCGGCCACGAUUGGGUCACGUGACUCCCUAAGUCCAACGUGGCUGACAGGCUUAGGCCCACGGUGUGCAGUGGAGAGCAUGGGAGGAAUUUAGACACAAAGACCAGUCCCACCGGCCAGGCAUCAGGCAGAGGCCAGGCCAGGAACGUCACGUGGACCUGUGGGAUGAGCAGGUGCUCCAGAUAAGCAGACAAGGAGUGAAGUCCAGGGAGGGCAGCUGAGCCGUGCAUCAGAGCCUAGAACAAGAACGUGGGAACAGGGUUCCAGACCAGGGCUCAGGAUCCCACCCUGUGUGGCUGGCAGCAGGAGGACAGCAUCCCAGCCCAGGCCCUGGGAACAACUGGCUUCCAGCAAAAACUGCAGAAAGAUUCCCCUCCCAGUGCCCCCAGUAGAGCCCCAAAGAAAGUCAGACCUGUCCCCAGAAUGCACACACUUGAACCCAGAGGUCGACACAGCAGUGCCCAGGCACACAGAGUGGAAAACCGGGGCUUCUGAGGAAAGCCAAAUCAUUUUAAAGUUCAGUCCCUGCCUGCACCAUCGGCACAGACUAGAGAUGCCUGGGUGCGUUCCUAGAAUCCUCUGUCCCCCACUGUCCAGUAGACAGGCAUGGGACAGAGAGGUCAGGUCACUAAUUUCUCAGCAGCAGCCGUUACCUAUUUCCAAGGGUGCACACAUCCAUGUGGCCCACUCUGCGGUCCUUGACCAUUCGCUUAUCCCCCGGCCCCUGCACACACCUGCUAUCCACUAGGCACUCUUCUACACAGUGGGGACAUGUUUGUAGACAAAACAAAACCCAUCCCUCUUUUCCCAGACCUUACAGUCCAGUGGGGGUGAUACGCACACAGAUGAUCGAAUUUGUGCCAUGGCAAGUUAAGUUAUUGGUGCUGCAAAGAAACCAGAGCAGGCAGAGGGCACUGGGUGCUUCAACUCCUAAGAAAUCUGCACGGGAAGAUGGCCUGAUGGAGUGCUCUUAACCACAUGAUGACAGCCAAGGCCUGUGCAGAACGCAUGUGGGAAGAGAGAAUGAAGACGGAUGCUGAGCAGAUGUCCCAGAUGUGGCCCGGCAGGCAGUGUCUGUGGGCCCAGGAGCCGGCGGGAGCUCUGAGCCAUGCUCUUGCUGCGUGCCAGGAUGACAGCAUGCUUCCACCCCGCUGUUGACUUGCACACCACAAUGACGAGUUUUCUGCUGAUAAAGCCAGAAUUCAAUCUUAUGGGUGUGGCCAGACCGAUGGCAGGUCAGAGGCUAAGGAUUUUGCCAAUAACACACAGUCACAUCAGAGUUGUUUGGUGCUCUGGUCCGAGUUUGGUUGGCUGCUGCCUCCCUGAUAUUCUACAAAACAGAUCCCCAAGUGGAAAACCACAGAGCACCAGAGAAAGAGCACCAUCUUCAGAGUGCCAAGAAUUUGUCAAAAAACCUGGACUCCCACCACUAACUAGAUAACUUGGAAUUUAUUUAUGCUGAGAAUAAGAAGAUUGUGAGUGACAUCCGCUAGGUGUUCCUUUGUAGCUGUUCCUCCCAGAGCGAUGAUGAAGGCAUUCAGGCAACUUCAGGCAGCCUGACUAACUGAGAAAAGUAAUGCUGCUCACUCAUUGAGAGUCAGGACAGCAAGAAAGGAGAGGAAGGGGAGAGAAGGGAGAGGAAGAAAUGCCAAGACGAUGCGGCAGAAAUCACACAUUCUGAGGCAGGGGCCUAUUUUGAAAGAUGAUGGUCCAGGAUAAAGUUUAUUUCACUUACAAGCACUAACUCAUUCUUUUCAUCUAGCAUUCCACCUAUGGAUUAGCAACAGCAUGACCUCUGUAGGGAAGAUUAACUUGCAGCUACACAGGGAUUCAGCAGAAAGCAGACAUGAGGGGAUUGUUUUGACAGUUUUGAAAUCUAUAUUCUUUGUGGGAAAAGCACUGUUGAAAUCCUGCUGUAUUAAGCCGUUUUGCAUGACUUUCACUAAUUACCUGGGGUUGGAUAAAUUUAUCAAGAAAAAAGGUUUAUUCUGUCUCUUGGUUCCAAAGAUCCAAGGCCAAGGGGCCAUAUCCGGUGUUAUCCUUCCUGCAAGCAGAAUUCCAAGGCUGUGCGUGGAAUCACAUGGCAAGAACAAGGAGUGUGCUCGUGUGUGUGCCUCUUCUGGUCUCUGCCCCUCUCUUUAUAAAGCCACCAGGAUUCAUUCAGUCAUGGGACCCCCACCCCACUGACCUUAUCUAACUCUAAGCUCCCAGAGGCACCACCGUGGUGUGAUGAAGUCUUGACCCUCUAAAACCUCAAGGUGGCAACUAAAGUUCAACACGUGACCCCUUGGAGACACACGCCAACCAUAUGCAACCACAGCACCUGGAAUAUUAAGUAAGUUCUGUGUGAUGAGAGAAAAACUCAGACAAUUAACAUUAGUCACUAACUAAUAAGCGGUUUAAUUUAUAUGUUAAAAGUUAUUCUCUCUGAACCUAGAAGCACACGUAGAAUUUUGAUAGGUUGCUACACAGGCAGUCUGUGCUAGUCAGGAGGCAGCGCAUCCAUGGACUUUUUGAAAAAGGCAGAAUCUUUGGUGCUGAUGCUGGAGAGAGGACCGGGCUGCCUCCUUCCCUUCCCCUCUCAUCUCUCUUUCUCUCUCUCCCCUCCCUCCUUCCCUCCCUUUCUCCCUCUCUCCUCCCCUCCCUCUCUUCCUCCUCCCUCUCUCUCUCCCUCCCUUUCUCCCUCUCUGCCCCUACCUCUCCCUCCCUCCCUCCUCUCUUUCUCUUUCUCUCUCUCCUCCCUUUCUCCUCCCUCUUUCUCUCUCCUUCCCUCUCUCUGUUUCUCUCUUUUUCUCCCUCCCCCUCCCUCCCUCUCUCCCUCCCUCCCUGUCUUUCUCCCUC
rnacentral:lncRNA from 1 species